CCUACGGGAGGCAGCAGUGAGGAAUAUUGGUCAAUGGGCGGGAGCCUGAACCAGCCAAGUCGCGUGAAGGAAGAAGGAUCUAUGGUUCGUAAGCUUCUUUUGCAGGGGAAUAAAGUGCGGGACGUGUCCUGUUUUGUAUGUACCCUGAGAAUAAGGAUCGGCUAACUCCGUGCCAGCAGCCGCGGUAAU
rnacentral:rRNA from 1 species